rnacentral:snRNA from 1 species
GUGUUCACUUUGGCAACACAUACACUAAUAUUGGAACAAUACAUAGAAGAUUAGCAUGGCUUCUGCACAAGGAUAACAUGCAAAUUCAUGAAGCAUUUCAUAUUUU